UGUGUGAGAACUCGAAACGGAGCAGCACGUGCGACUGUUUCAGAAGGUGUGUACAUUCCACAGCUUUUUCUUUGAUCCUAGUUUCAUCACCCAAUUUGAUAAGGCAGGGUGCGAUAAUUCACGAUUUUUAGUCCUAGCGCACUGGUACUCCAAUGAUUACUGCCUUGUAGUUGAGCAGUGCAAACUUAACAAUCAAGGUGUACUUAGUUUUUAAAAUGAAGUACACGAAGCACAGGUAUCUGAAAGGCGGAAUUCAUUCAGUAACCUG